CCCAAAUAUUUAUAAUUUUUAUACCUGAUUCCUGAACCUCAGAACCUGAUACGGUGAGAUGAGCAGUUGAGACUUGAGAGAGGCUGAGGCGGAGAGCAGAGAAUCAGAGAGAGGCUGAGGAGGCGGAGGAGCUUCAAGCUUGCUGCCUUGCUUGAGCUGUUGUCUGUUGAGCGAACAGUGGAGACUGGAGACUAGAGAGAGGCGGAGAGCAGAGAGACUAGACAGAAAGGAGUCCUUAAUGGCAGAUUCAGGUGAAAAUCAACAGCCUGAACAAGUCUGCAACUUUUUCAGAAAGCCGUCAAGGAAUAAAAACAUCAGAAAAAGAACAGUUGAUGAAGAUGAAGAGGAUGAUUCAAAAACAGAAGGCUCAUUCUUACACAGUCAAAAGAAAACCAUAAAGCCUGACAAUAAGCUGUAUUUUUCGACUGGAUCCUCUAAGAACAAAACGUCUACUGAAGCAAAGGAAGAAUCUGAAAAGCCAAUUUUUCAGUUUGAGUCUUCAAGGGAAAUUCAAGUUGAACAUGAUAGCAGAGCAACAGCAACUCUAGAAACUGAGACUGAUUUCUCAAGAGAUGCUCGUGCAUUAUGCGAGAGAUCUCUUUAGCAAGCAGAGGAGGCUUUGAAGGGGAAAGGAAAAAGCUUUGGGGAUGAAAAGUUGUAUAGAGGAAUUAAUGGAUAUACUGAUUACAAGGCUGGUUUCCGAAGAGAGCAAACGGUUGCUAGUGAGAAAGCUGGCGGAGCACAUGGGCCUUUGAGGGCUUCUGCUCACAUAAGAGUUUCAGCGAGAUUUGAUUAUCAACCGGACAUAUGUAAGGAUUACAAAGAGACUGGUUACUGUGGGUAUGGAGAUUCUUGUAAGUUUAUGCAUGAUCGAGGGGAUUACAAGUCUGGAUGGCAAAUGGAGAAGGAGUGGGAUGAAGCAGAGAAAGUAAGGAAGAGAAAUCUAGCUUUGGGAUUAGAUGAUGAGGAUGAUGGUGGUGUAGACCCUGGUGAGGAAGAUGAUGAUGAUGAUUCGUUGCCCUUUGCAUGUUUCAUUUGCAGGCAGCCUUUUGUUGAUGCUGUUGUAACCAAGUGCAAGCACUAUUUCUGUGAGCAUUGCGCAUUAAAGCAUCACGCAAAGAACAAGAAAUGCUUUGUUUGCAACAAACCUACUCUUGGCAUUUUCAAUACAGCUCAUGAGAUACGCAAAAGGAUUGCCGCAGAGGCAUUUAAAGAGGAAGUUUCCUUAUCAGUCUCUCUUUUUCCUAGAAUGUCUGGCAAAAUUCUCUUUAACUAGAGAUCUUACUGAAGGAAAGCAAUUUAAGGAGUACUAUUGUUGGUUUCUGCAGAAUUUAAUUAGUAUUGGGUAUCUGAGAUAGCAAAGCAGAUUUGCUCAGUUUCCUUUAUUAGGUGGAGACUGUUUCAUACAUUGGAUCCAAAAGGACACAGAUCAUGACAUUGAAGUUUCUUUUUUGUUUUUGUUUUCUAUGAUCCUGAUUUAUACGUCUUAACCUGAUAUGUAAGAAACUUUUAUGAUAUUUCAUAUUAGCUUUAAUAAGUAAAUAGACUUAACAUAUUAGUCA